rnacentral:rRNA from 1 species
UACGUAGGGCGCAAGCGUUGUCCGGAAUUAUUGGGCGUAAAGAGCUCGUAGGCGGCUUGUCACGUCGGAUGUGAAAGCCCGGGGCUUAACCCCGGGUCUGCAUUCGAUACGGGCAGGCUAGAGUGUGGUAGGGGAGAUCGGAAUUCCUGGUGUAGCGGUGAAAUGCGCAGAUAUCAGGAGGAACACCGAUGGCGAAGGCAGGUCUCUGGGCCACUACUGACGCUGAGAAGCGAAAGCGUGGGGAGCGAACAGG